UACGAAGGGUGCAAGCGUUAUUCGGAUUUAUUGGGCGUAAAGGGUUCGUAGGCGGGAUUAUAAGUCAAGUGUGAAAUCCCCAAGCUUAACUUGGGACGUGCAUUUGAAACUGUGAUUCUUGAGUCAUUGAGAGGGUGGUGGAAUUGUUGGUGUAGGAGUGACAUCCGUAGAGAUCAACAGGAACAUCAGAGGCGAAAGCGGCCACCUGGCAAUGUACUGACGCUGAGGGAACGGAAAAGGCCGUGGGGGAUGCAAA
rnacentral:rRNA from 1 species